UACGUAGGCAGCAAGCGUUGUUCGGAAUUACUGGCGUAAAGAGUGUGUAGGCGGUGCUCUAAGUCUGUCGUGAAAUCUCCCGGCUUAACUGGGAGGGUGCGGCGGAUACUAUUGUGCUAGAGGGUGGGAGAGGAAAGCGGAAUUCCUGGUGUAGCGGUGAAAUGCGUAGAUAUCAGGAGGAACACCUGCGGUGUAGACAGCUUUCUGGACCACUUCUGACGCUGAGACACGAAAGCGUGGGUAGCAAACAGG
rnacentral:rRNA from 1 species